AAGGCAUUGUGAGGGCAUUUCCUAAACAUUUUCUUAAAUCUCUCCCAACUUUUAUAAAUUCAUUCUCCUUUAAAGUAGGUAAAGGAAGUGAUAUCAUUUCUAAAUUU